ACAGCAGUCGCCGCGGUAAUACGAACCGUGCGAACGUUAUUCGGAAUUACUGGGCUUAAAGCGCGUGUAGGAGGGCCGCCACGUCGGUUGCUGAAAUCCCCCGGCUCAACCGGGGAAGUGGCAUCGAUACGAGCGGCCUUGAGGGGGGUAGGGGGAUCUGGAACUUCCGGUGGAGCGGUGAAAUGCGUUGAGAUCGGAAGGAACGCCCGUGGCGAAAGCGAGGUCCUGGACCCUUUCUGACGCUGAAACGCGAAAGCCAGGGGAGCGAACGGGAUUAGAUACCCCCGUAGUCCUGUCUCUUAUAC
rnacentral:rRNA from 1 species